rnacentral:rRNA from 1 species
CGGUCCUAAGGUAGCGAAAUUCCUUGUCGGGUAAGUUCCGACCUGCACGAAUGGCGUAAUGAUGGCCAGGCUGUCUCCACCCGAGACUCAGUGAAAUUGAACUCGCUGUGAAGAUGCAGUGUACCCGCGGCAAGACGGAAAGACCCCGUGAACCUUUACUAUAGCUUGACACUGAACAUUGAGCCUUGAUGUGUAGGAUAGGUGGGAGGCUUUGAAGUGUGGACGCCAGUCUGCAUGGAGCCGGCCUUGAAAUACCACCCUUUAAUGUUUGAUGUUCUAACGUGGACCCGUAAUCCGGGUUGCGGACAGUGUCUGGUGGGUAGUUUGACUGGGGCGGUCUCCUCCUAAAGAGUAACGGAGGAGCACGAAGGUUGGCUAAUCCUGGUCGGACAUCAGGAGGUUAGUGCAAUGGCAUAAGCCAGCUUGACUGCGAGCGUGACGGCGCGAGCAGGUGCGAAAGCAGGUCAUAGUGAUCCGGUGGUUCUGAAUGGAAGGGCCAUCGCUCAACGGAUAAAAGGUACCGUUGAGCGAUGGCCCUUCCAUUCAGAACCACCGGAUCACUAUGACC